GACACUUUGGCCGAGUGGUUAAGGCGGUGCCCUGCGUACGUACUCACCAGUCUUCCAUCAGCCAAUCUCAACUAACAGCCUCUCAGUAAGGCAUUACGUUCGCGUGCGUAGGUUCGAAUCCUGCAGGUGUCG
rfam:Cordyceps confragosa RCEF 1005 scaffold_9, whole genome shotgun sequence.